AGUGAACGCUGGCGGUAGGCCUAACACAUGCAAGUCGAACGGCAGCACAGUAAGAGCUUGCUCUUACGGGUGGCGAGUGGCGGACGGGUGAGGAAUACAUCGGAAUCUACUUUUUCGUGGGGGAUAACGUAGGGAAAUUUACGCUAAUACCGCAUACGACCUACGGGUGAAAGCAGGGGAUUUUCGGACCUUGCGCGUAUGAAUGAGCCGAUGUCGGAUUAGCUAGUUGGCGGGGUAAAGGCCCACCAAGGCGACGAUCCGUAGCUGGUCUGAGAGGAUGAUCAGCCACACUGGAACUGAGACACGGUCCAGACUCCUACGGGAGGCAGCAGUGGGGAAUAUUGGACAAUGGGCGCAAGCCUGAUCCAGCCAUACCGCGUGGGCGAAGAAGGCCUUCGGGUUGUAAAGCCCUUUUGUUGGGAAAGAAAAGCAGCAGGUUAAUACCCCGCUGUUCUGACGGUACCCAAAGAAUAAGCACCGGCUAACUUCGUG
rnacentral:rRNA from 1 species